rnacentral:misc_RNA from 1 species
UUUCCGUAGGUGAACCUGCGGAAGGAUCAUUAUUGUAUAACCGAGGUGCGAGGGCUGUCGCUGACCCGAAAGGUCGUGCACGCCCGAGUGCCCUCACACACAUCCAUCUCACCCCUAUGUGCACCACCGCGUGGGUCCCCCUUUGGCUUGUUCGGAGGGGGGCUUACGUUUUCACACAAACUUUGUAUGCAGUGUAGAAUGUAUUUUUUGUUUUUGCGAUCACGCAAUCAAUACAACUUUCAACAACGGAUCUCUUGGUUCUU